rnacentral:rRNA from 1 species
ACGUAGGUGGCAAGCGUUAUCCGGAUUUACUGGGCGUAAAGGGAGCGUAGGCGGAUAUUUAAGUGGGAUGUGAAAUACCCGAGCUUAACUUGGGAGCUGCAUUUCAAACUGGAUAUCUAGAGUGCGGGAGAGGAGAAUGGAAUUCCUAGUGUAGCGGUGAAAUGCGUAGAGAUUAGGAAGAACACCAGUGGCGAAGGCGAUUCUCUGGACUGUAACUGACGCUGAGGCUCGAAAGCGUGGGGAGCAAACAG